rnacentral:rRNA from 1 species
UCGCGAGGCGGACGGAGGGAUGGAUGAGGUUACCUGGAAAAAAUCGGGGCGAUCUAGGCGGGCGAACCUCGCCAACGAACGAUCGGACAUGGGAUAACGGAAGAGGGCGUCGGCUCGACUUCGUCGGUUCCUCGGGCCGAGGCACGUACGGUGAAUAGGGACGGUCGGGGCCGCCCGUACCGGGUCGUGAGAGGUGAAAUUCUAGGAUCGACCCGAGACGAACCGCCGCGAAAGCAUUCGGCAAGGACGCUUUCAUUAAUCAAGAACGAAAGUCGGGGGAUCGAAGACGAUCAGAUACCGUCGUAGUCCCGACCGUAAACGAUGCCGACCGAGGGCCCCGGAGGAGUUACGUACGACCCUCCGGGCCCUCCCGCGAGAAAUCAGGAGUAUUCGGGUUCCGGGGGAGUAUGGUCGCAAGGCCGAAACUUAAAGGAAUUGACGGAAGGGCU